UUCCUGCUGCAGGAAGUGGCUGUGGGACACAGGGACCAGGAGGCAUUGGAAUGACUUUUUAACCGGUCUCCAGCCAUAUGUAAAAUAAAUAACAAAUGAGAAAAGGAGGAUACAGUCCAAGAAUGGUUUACUAUUCCAACUUUCAAGGCUUGCAAAAGGCAUUGGGCUGCAAUCCAAUGGCUGAAGACUAUAAACAGAAACCUUUAAUGACAUUUCCAGGGACACCAAGAUAAAAACAAAGCACUUAUUCCGUUUUCAAGUGAGCCUGAUCAAAAGGACAGACCCAUUAGGCAUCACAGCAUGUUGAUUAUUCUGCUGAUCUGGUCAAGAUGCCUCUAAACAGAAACAACCAGAGCCACAUUUUUGAUCCGCAUGUUAUUAACAUAUAUGCCAAAUUUUCCCCUUUUCUCCUUUUUUUGCUAUUUGUGUUUUUAGUGAGCAGAGUAUGAUGUACCAACAUACAAAUAGCGCCAAUUUAUACCAAUCUCUAGAUCAUCUUAAUUAUUACGAUUAAUACUACUG